rnacentral:lncRNA from 1 species
ACUGGAAUCAGCAACUCCCUGGAACUCGGGCCUCUGGCCCCGUCCCUCUUUUCUCCGGCAGGGACGCAGGAUGCCUUGGUGCACUCUAGAGACGGGGACCGGAGGGUGCAGCGCGCCUGGGUGGGGCGAAGGGCGCCGGUCUCCUCACGCCCUCUGACUUUAGGAUACCAGACAGUGUCUCUUCAACCCCACCCCAGGCGCAGGAGAAAAAUCAAGACGUUCCCUUCAGUCCUCCCUCGGUGUUAACGUCUGCUCCAGCUCGCAGCCCGCUGCUGGGCAUUUUAUUAAUGCUUUUACGAGUUAGAAGAGUUGGGAUAAUUUGCCAUCUGGAGUUUCUCUGCCUUGCUGAUCUGAGCUCAGACCUGCCAAUUUACCAGAGAUAAUUGAUAACACCCUGUAACAGCUGAGAGGAAAAUGGAAGAAACGGAGAUACUUUUAGUGAAGCAGAAUAAACCACUGAACAGGAAAAAUGAGGAAGCUGUGAGUACCAGUGGAAGGAACGAGCCAGGAAGAGGGACUGGAACCAUCUCAGAAGCCAUGCCCCUCAGGCUGGAACUUGCCCUGUCUCCUCGCAGAUGAGCUACCUCUUGUGUUUAAGAAUUAAAGGAAGAUGAGCUAGGAAUCAAGAAAUACGCAGAACUGAUUCCUGUCACUGGCGCCACCCUGCCACUUGCCCAGAGCUGUGGUAUAAAUUUUUUUAAUAGGCUGAAAUAAAAAUAUGAAUAGCAUUUUGGUAUUAAGCAUUAAAUUGAUAAAGGCUAUGAGAUACACCUGCUCUCAACCAUGUUAAUUUUUUAUUAUUGGUAUUAAUAAAUUAUUACUUACUAACAUAUUAACAAGAAUUGCAUUGAGAAACAAAGCAUCCACAGGCCAAAUCUUCUGAAUUUCAAAUGUUUAUAUUAAUGCGUUGUAUUCUAGAAAAGUAGAAUUGUCUUAAGUAGCUUUGUAAUAUAAAGUCAUCUAUCAGCCCAUUACACCUAUUAGAAUGUUUUAACCUUUAUUUCCCACUUUUUUGUUUCUAGACUGAGUGUACUUGGUCUGGUAUUUGUGGCAUAACUUACGGAACACAUAAGAAUGAUACAGAUACUAUUUAAUGAUGACCUAAUACAAGCUUAGAUAGCUAAGGUGAAAGCUUCUAUGGCCUUAACAUUUUCCUCUUGAAGAAUGUAUUUUCUGUAAUAAAAUACAGUGGCUACUUGAAAUCUAUAAACUUAUGUGAGGUCUGGAUAAAUCUGAGCAACUUUCUUCUUUGUGCUCCAGGAACCUACGCACUAUAUAUAUAAAUAAAGCUUAAGUAAACAUCA